CCCAAACCCAAUCUACAAUGUGCGAGAGGCAGUCGACGAUACACGGCGCAUUACUGUGGAACCAGUGGGCGGUUAGAAAAUUUUACUACUAACAAAGAUUGUAGAGAGUUCUUUCUGAAGAUUUCAGUCUCCUGAUUAUUUGAAUCUUCGUCAUAUACUUGGCCUGAUCCUCGGCGAACCAGACUGCCAACAGCAUCAGACCAACCCAGGACAAAUAUCUAAAUGUUUACCACAUGACCAUAAAUGUCUCCUAUUUAGCACCUUUCAGCCACUGUAUAUUGAGUCUACCAGUCCCAGAAUUCUUCAGCCAACAAGGGAGUUAUGAGAAUUACAAGUCCAAGACAUCUGGAAGGAUGAACCACUUUGGAGAAAGUUGUGUUAAGCUCUUUUUAUUAUUAUUAAAUCUCUCCUAUGCCACAGUUCAUGAGAAGUUCAGAUGCUAAGAGAAUAACACGGAUAGUUCAGCAUGAACUAUGAUCUACAG